AGCGAACGCUGGCGGCAGGCCUAACACAUGCAAGUCGAACGGAUCCUUCGGGAUUAGUGGCGGACGGGUGAGUAACACGUGGGAGCGUGCCCUUUGGUUCGGAACAACUCAGGGAAACUUGAGCUAAUACCGGAUGUGCCCUUCGGGGGAAAGAUUUAUCGCCAUUGGAGCGGCCCGCGUCUGAUUAGCUAGUUGGUGAGGUAAAGGCUCACCAAGGCGACGAUCAGUAGCUGGUCUGAGAGGACGAUCAGCCACAUUGGGACUGAGACACGGCCCAAACUCCUACGGGAGGCAGCAGUGGGGAAUCUUGCGCAAUGGGCGAAAGCCUGACGCAGCCAUGCCGUGUGAAUGAUGAAGGUCUUAGGAUUGUAAAAUUCUUUCACCGGGGACGAUAAUGACGGUACCCGGAGAAGAAGCCCCGGCUAACUUCGUGCCAGCAGCCGCCGUAACAC
rnacentral:rRNA from 1 species